CCCUCCAUCCCCUGCCGUCCGAACACUGUCGUCGACCAGAUCCACAGCAGUUCCACCGCAAGGCCGUCGCGCAAAUGCUCGCUCGUCCUCUCCUCUUCCACGGCCACUUUAUCUCCACCAGCCCACCUCCACUCCACCCCUAGGUAAAAAAAUCAAAUCUUUUGCGCCGGUGAUGAAGGGGUGGAUGUGGAUGUGCUAGCGCUGGAUCUGGAAAAUGGAGGCAUGGAGCAGUGCUGGAGCAGCGUAUCUGAAGCGGUGUCGAAGCUGUAGAGCGGCAGAUCUGGAGCGACGUCUUCCUCCCUCACGGUGGCCUUCCCCUUCAUGCCACAUCAUCGUCGCCCUCAUGGUUGAGCUUGAGCUUCCAUGGGGAACUGCUUCGGCUCCGAGGAAGCCGAAGUGGAGACCAUGAAGAAGGCGCCGGGCCACCACGUGCACGGACAAGGACGCCCUCAAGCGAUUGGAAGGUGCAAUCCACCUCCUAUGGCAUCGUGGGGCACGUUGGGAGGUCCUCGCGCUCGUCUAGCAGCAUGAAUACCAGAGGCACCAGCUCCAGCACAUCGGCGGGCGGUGGCGUUCACAAGGCGACAACAUACCUAGAGCCAUAUGUCACGAUCCUAGAGGCGCCUAAUCUGCUUCCUGCCCUGACCACGGUAUGCUGCUGGUGAUGUGCUGUUGGUGCUGGUUUGUUGCUUGCUGCUGGUGGUGGUAAGCUGCCACUGCUAGUUAUCUGCCACUUCUGAUGGUGAGCCGUUGCUGCUGGAGAGCUGGUGGUGAUGAGCUAUUGCUGCUGGAGAGCCUAUCAACAAAGACUAGCAUAUGUAUUCUAAUAGUAGGCAGUAGUAGACAUAUCUCGGUUGCGGUGUCGUGUAAAGAUUGUAAAUUGUGAAGUUAUGCAGUUUCUGAACGUGUGAAGUACGACAUAUUGUGAAGUUGUGCACCUGUGAAGUUAUGCAUUUUGUGAAGUUGUGAAUUA